CCCUUUGUGACAUACCUAUAACUGUUGCUUCGGCGGGUAGGGUCUCCGUGACCCUCCCGGCCUCCCGCCCCCGGGCGGGUCGGCGCCCGCCGGAGGAUAACCAAACUCUGAUUUAACGACGUUUCUUCUGAGUGGUACAAGCAAAUAAUCAAAACUUUUAACAACGGAUCUCUUGGUUCUGGCAUCGAUGAAGAACGCAGCGAAAUGCGAUAAGUAAUGUGAAUUGCAGAAUUCAGUGAAUCAUCGAAUCUUUGAACGCACAUUGCGCCCGCCAGCAUUCUGGCGGGCAUGCCUGUUCGAGCGUCAUUUCAACCCUCAAGCUCUGCUUGGUGUUGGGGCCCUACAGCUGAUGUAGGCCCUCAAAGGUAGUGGCGGACCCUCCCGGAGCCUCCUUUGCGUAGUAACUUUACGUCUCGCACUGGGAUCCGGAGGGACUCUUGCCGUAAAACCCCCAAUUUUCCAAAGGUUGACCUCGGAUCAGGUAGGAAUACCCGCUGAACUUAAGCAUAUCAAUAAG
rnacentral:rRNA from 1 species